rfam:Biomphalaria glabrata isolate BB02 unplaced genomic scaffold LGTN_random_Scaffold43, whole genome shotgun sequence.
UUGAUCUAUGAUGAAUAUUAUUACCGCCCCAGUCUGACUUUUCUUAUGACUGAUUGGUUUUAUUCUGAGACUAC